AGCUGUAUGAAUUAAUAUACAGUUAUUUCUGCUCAAUGAUUCUAAAUAGCCGCAGUACUCUGACUGUGCAAAGGUAGCAUAAUCAGUUGGCUUUUAAUUAAAGUCUGGUAUGAACGAAAAUAUGGGUAGUAACUGUCUUAACAUAUUUACUUGAAAUUAUUAAACAAGUGCAAAUGCUUGUAUCAAAACAAUAGACGAGAAGACCCUAGAAACUUGCGUUCAGUUUUUGUUGGGGCGACAGGAUUACAUUUAACUAAUUUUAUAAUACAUGACAUAAGGUUGUAAGAAUAAGUUACUCUAGGGAUAACAGCAUAAUUUUAUUAGUUUGUGACCUCGAUGUUGGACUAGGUACUAUAUUCUUAAGGCAAGGAUAUAUCACGCUCUGUUCGAGCAAAAUUACCUACAU
rnacentral:rRNA from 1 species